rnacentral:rRNA from 4 species
GUUUGAUCCUGGCUCAGGAUGAACGCUAGCGGCAGGCUUAACACAUGCAAGUCGAGGGGUAUAGGUUUUCGGAUCUAGAGACCGGCGCACGGGUGCGUAACGCGUAUGCAAUCUACCUUUUACAGAGGGAUAGCCCAGAGAAAUUUGGAUUAAUACCUCAUAGUAUUAUGAAAUGGCAUCAUUUUAUAAUUAAAGUCACAACGGUAAAAGAUGAGCAUGCGUCCCAUUAGCUAGUUGGUAAGGUAACGGCUUACCAAGGCAACGAUGGGUAGGGGUCCUGAGAGGGAGAUCCCCCACACUGGUACUGAGACACGGACCAGACUCCUACGGGAGGCAGCAGUGAGGAAUAUUGGACAAUGGGCGCAAGCCUGAUCCAGCCAUGCCGCGUGCAGGAUGACGGUCCUAUGGAUUGUAAACUGCUUUUGUACGAGAAGAAACACUACUUCGUGAAGUAGCUUGACGGUAUCGUAAGAAUAAGGAUCGGCUAACUCCGUGCCAGCAGCCGCGGUAAUACGGAGGAUCCAAGCGUUAUCCGGAAUCAUUGGGUUUAAAGGGUCCGUAGGCGGUUUAGUAAGUCAGUGGUGAAAGCCCAUCGCUCAACGGUGGAACGGCCAUUGAUACUGCUAGACUUGAAUUAUUAGGAAGUAACUAGAAUAUGCAGUGUAGCGGUGAAAUGCUUAGAGAUUACAUGGAAUACCAAUUGCGAAGGCAGGUUACUACUAAUUGAUUGACGCUGAUGGACGAAAGCGUGGGUAGCGAACAGGAUUAGAUACCCUGNUAGUCCACGCCGUACNNG